UACAGAGGGUGCGAGCGUUAAUCGGAAUUACUGGGCGUAAAGCGCACGUAGGCGGCUUGGUAUGUCGGGUGUGAAAUCCCCGGGCUCAACCUGGGAACUGCAUCCGAAACUGCCUUGCUAGAGUAUGGGAGAGGGAAGUGGAAUUUCCGGUGUAGCGGUGAAAUGCGUAGAUAUCUGGAGGAAUACCGGUGGCGAAGGCGGCAUCCUGGACCAUUACUGACGCUUAAGCGCGAAAACUAGGGGAGCAAACGGG
rnacentral:rRNA from 1 species